rnacentral:rRNA from 1 species
GGAUGAACGCUGGCGGCGUGCUUAACACAUGCAAGUCGAACGGAACUUUACAUGAAACCUAGUGAUUGUAAAGUUAGUGGCGGACGGUGAGUAACGCGUGGGUAACCUGCCUUGUACAGGGGGACAACAGUUGGAAACGACUGCUAAUACCGCAUAAGCGCACAGAGCUGCAUGGCUCAGUGUGAAAAACUCUGGUGGUACAAGAUGGACCCGCGUCUGAUUAGCUAGUUGGUGAGGUAACGGCCCACCAAGGCGACGAUCAGUAGCCGGCCUGAGAGGUUGAACGGCCACAUUGGAACUGAGAUACGGUCCAGACUCCUACGGGAGGCAGCAGUGGGGAAUAUUGGGCAAUGGGCGAAAGCCUGACCCAGCGACGCCGCGUGCGGGAAGAAGGUCUUCGGAUUGUAAACCGCUGUAGACAGGGACGAAACAAAUGACGGUACCUGUAAAGUAAGCCACGGCUAACUACGUG